rnacentral:rRNA from 1 species
AUUGAACGCUGGCGGCAUGCCUUACACAUGCAAGUCGAACGGCAGCACGGGAGCAAUCCUGGUGGCGAGUGGCGAACGGGUGAGUAAAGUAUCGGAACGUGCCCAGUCGUGGGGGAUAACGUAGCGAAAGUUACGCUAAUACCGCAUACGAUCUAUGGAUGAAAGCGGGGGAUCGCAAGACCUCGCGCGAUUGGAGCGGCCGAUAACAGAUUAGGUAGUUGGUGGGGUAAAGGCUCACCAAGCCGACGAUCUGUAGCUGGUCUGAGAGGACGACCAGCCACCCUGGGACUGAGACACGGCCCAGACUCCUACGGGAGGCAGCAGUGGGGAAUUUUGGACAAUGGGCGAAAGCCUGAUCCAGCCAUGCCGCGUGCAGGAUGAAGGCCUUCGGGUUGUAAACUGCUUUUGUACGGAACGAAAAGGUUUGGCCUAAUAAGCUGAGCUCAUGACGGUACCGUAAGAAUAAGCACCGGCUGACUACGUGCCAGCCGCCGCAGUAA